rnacentral:rRNA from 1 species
AAUGAACGCUAGCGGCAGGCUUAAUACAUGCAAGUCGAAGGACAGCACAGGUAGCAAUACUGGGUGGUAACCGGCAAACGGGUGCGGAACACGUACACAACCUUCCUUUAAGUGGGGGAUAGCCCAGAGAAAUUUGGAUUAAUACCCCGUAAUAUAGUUGAAUGGCAUCAUUUGAUUAUUAUAGCUACGGCGCUUAAUGAUGGGUGUGCGGCUGAUUAGAUAGUUGGCGGGGUAACGGCCCACCAAGUCUACGAUCAGUAGCUGAUGUGAGAGCAUGAUCAGCCACACGGGCACUGAGACACGGGCCCGACUCCUACGGGAGGCAGCAGUAAGGAAUAUUGGUCAAUGGACGCAAGUCUGAACCAGCCAUGCCGCGAGAAGGAUUAAGGUCCUCUGGAUUGUAAACUUCUUUUAUUUGGGACGAAAAAGGGCCUUUCUAGGUCAACUGACGGUACCAGAUGAAUAAGCACCGGCUAACUCCGUGCCAGCCGCCGCAGUAACAC